UCGGGGCGGCGGCCAUAUUGAGUCAGGGCGCGAAGUCAACGGGCUCCGCGGACCGCAGCGGGCGCCAUCUUGGGGCCGGGCAGAAGCGCGCCGUCGGGUUGAUGGAGUGAUUGGGUGGAGGAAAGGCGGUGUGCCCCAUCUCCUGCGGAAUGCUGGAAGGCGAACCUGGAGGAGCCGGGGUGGAAUGUGUCUGCUUGUGCCCAAACAGAGAGCAAUGGGAAGCGGUGUGUGUGGUGCUGUCUCAGACCAGCUGUGGAGGCUGGAGUUGCACAAAGGCUAGCACCAUGCCUGCGUGCUGCAGCUCUCCGGAGCGCUGUCACACAGACACGAAGAUCCAGGACUGCUGCUUCACUUUGCAUUCACAUCUUCUGAAGGGGCUCUGGCAUGCAGACAUCUGAGUAGAGCCUGUGUUUCAUGGCAGCAGGAGGAAAGUCAAGCCAGUUUGCCCUGCAUCUGUUUUGUUUUGUUUUUUUUUAAUUGUAACGGAAAAAGGAUCCAGUCUGAGUCUUGCUGAAAGCAGAAGUUUUACACUUAGUUACAGCUGAAUAUAGCCACACUUCCUGCUUUCCUCCCUCCCCUCCUCCCUCCCUCCCCUGGGUCUCAUAGCAUAAUCUACUUAUUAAAUAGUUGCAAUAAAAGUACAUUUUGCCCUAGCAGGACUAAAGCCUAUUGGUAGGGAAGAUAUUUUUAUGCCAUCCUUGUCCUGUUCCUGCUGAAAUGAGGGUGUUUUUUCUUGUCUGCUUUUGGAUUUGUGAUCUGCUCCUUUAAUACAUUCCUUCCAGUCUAGGCAGUGUUCUCCAACUGCCUGGCACUGAUGUUAAUGCCUUGCUUCCUAAUCAAUCAAGUCCACUCCAUGCUUCCUUAAAGGAAAACUCUGCUCAUGUUGUUCAGCCCAAUGACACAAACUUCCACAGGUGUAAGAAACGUUUGUCACUGGCAAAUGGCACCAAUGUGGGAUGUGAAGGCCAAACUUUAAUCCUCUUUGGCAUUUCUCAGCCUCUGGGCAGUUCUUUCCUUAAAACUGCCUAUGGUACUGUGGACAACCAGCAGAGACUUAGCAGCUCAGCUUCCAGCUGUCAUAACUAACUUGAUUAUGGUAAGAACUUCGAGGAUAUUAACAGUGGGUUCUGUGUUUGUGUAUGGUGGGGACAGAAUUUGUAUUCACUUGCUCCAGUAAUGAAUGCAAACUGCCUAUACAAAAUGGAUGGGGAACGGGAGGAUGUUGCUAGAGGAAGUGUGUCACGAGAUGGGCUCAGUCACUUUUAUCUGCUUUUAUUAUAUAGAUCACUGUCCUUUGUGUCUGUAGCUAGAAAACCAUAUAGUGUCAAGUAUGUAAAACUGGGGUGAGCGGUGUUACAGCUUUUGGGGGCUUGUGUCCUGUUUGAAGUACAGUGCAGCAAAAUGGCUGUUCCUAGGAUAAGGUUUAUGUGCCAGCUGGAACUGCUGACUUCCUUUAAAACUCCUGGUUUAGUAAUUAUUCAUGGCAAAAAAAACUGUUUCUUCCCAUAUGAACUCCUGGCUUACUGAGCUACGAGGUGAGCCAAGUAGGUUAUUUUCUUCAGUGUCUGCAUUUUUUCCUAAUUACUUUGUGCCAGUUGUUACCACGCAGUUUUCUUUACCUGUGCUUCAAA